rnacentral:rRNA from 1 species
CCUACGGGGGGCAGCAGUAGGGAAUCUUCCACAAUGGACGAAAGUCUGAUGGAGCAACGCCGCGUGAGUGAAGAAGGGUUUCGGCUCGUAAAACUCUGUUGUUAAAGAAGAACAUAUCUGAGAGUAACUGUUCAGGUAUUGACGGUAUUUAACCAGAAAGCCACGGCUAACUACGUGCCAGCAGCCGCGGUAAUACGUAGGUGGCAAGCGUUGUCCGGAUUUAUUGGGCGUAAAGGGAACGCAGGCGGUCUUUUAAGUCUGAUGUGAAAGCCUUCGGCUUAACCGGAGUAGUGCAUUGGAAACUGGAAGACUUGAGUGCAGAAGAGGAGAGUGGAACUCCAUGUGUAGCGGUGAAAUGCGUAGAUAUAUGGAAGAACACCAGUGGCGAAAGCGGCUCUCUGGUCUGUAACUGACGCUGAGGUCC